GGGGAUUUAGCUCAGUGGUAGAGCGCUUGCCUAGCAAGCGCAAGGCCCUGGGUUCGAGCCCCAGCUCUG
rnacentral:tRNA from 1 species